GCUUAUAAUAUGGAACUUUAUCAGCAGCAACCACUUUCUGUUUCUCUGUAUUGUCCGAUACUCGUGCACAAUUCAAGCCAUCUGAGGAUUCUAAAACUUCAUUUUCUAUGUUAUCAGUGCCUCGUCCACUCGCAUUCUCUUCCUCCAUCAGUCUGAUUCUCCAACGAUCGUUUUAAUACCAGCCUGUAAGCAAGAUAAUAAAG
rnacentral:misc_RNA from 1 species